CUUUUAGCUGACAUUGUCAAUUCCCUACCUACAUCCCUGUGGCAAUGAUGCUUCAUACAUGACUUCCAAACUUCAGUCUACCUGCACCUGCAGCUCUGCCUGAGUGUUAUCUGGCUGUUGAAGCCACUGAGCAAGCCAACAUUGCCCAUAUAUUCUCCAUUUCCCUUUGGGUGGGUAGUAAAUACCCACAUUCCUGUCCUCAUGAAGUGGGAUAGCUUUGAGGCCCAUGUUCUAAACUAUUUUCUAGUUCCCAAGAUAAAUUAAGCUCCAGUUGUCUACAGUGGCAACUUUCUUGAGGACACACCCUUUGUUAGCCCUUUAUUACUUCACCUCCCUACUCUCCUACCAGUUUUCUAGAAUUGCCUUUCAAAUAAAUUCUUUAUCUUCAUCUCAGGAUUCUCUUCUGUUGGAAUAUAAACUAAGACAGAACUGUGCACACAGGAGCUUACACGUUGCCUUCUCUGGAGCAUUCUUGUAGAAUUCACAGGCUUCUAGGAAGGGGAAUUACUCCCGAAAAACUUUGUGUGAGUCCAUGCUCAAGGAGUAAAGCCUUAUGCUAUUAAAUGGGGCACUUCUGAAGAAAGAGAAAGUUAAGAAGGAGGGUUAUUUCCAAAAGCCAUAUUUCCCCUUUUCACAACUCUUUGGGUGGGGAAGACUGACUAUGGACAUUAGGAAACCCCUUCACUAAAUGUGGGAAGGGCUUUUGAAAGGGGCACGUCUGCUUUCUGUCUUGGCAAGUGUUGCUUGUAGCAUAUUUCCUGACAUUUCAGUAGAGAAUGCGGCUCUGUGUAAAUUCAGAAGCAGCCCCAGAACCACCAAUUAUAGAGAUAAUAAUUUCUGCUCAAUAAUAUGUAAAAAUGCUACUUAAAGCUAACCCUCAAUUAUAGCCUAUAAAUGAUGACAAACGUAUUUCUCUGUUGUGGCAGAAAUUAAAGGCUUGCUUACUGCUUAAGACAUGAUUUAUCUGAUGGGAAAACAAAUGAAUGACAAUAUGUGGUCUUCCUUUAGUAACUGUAUUUGCUGUGGGGUUAGCAUCAGAAAAGUGGGGAAGGAGGCAGGGUAAAGAAAUAUGCGUAUGCUGUAUGGUGAAGGCAAGGCACAAGGUCUGUCCGUGGGUGAACAUGGGGCUGAUGAAUCCAUGGCCAGGAAGUCAAUUUCUACUUGGAUAGGUGAAUUUCAUGGCAAGAGAAAAACAGCGGUCCUGGAAUAACAGGAGUGAGGACCUAGAAUUUUAAUGUCUAAUAUGCGGUGUGAAUUAAAGAAGCGGCCUUGCUAUGCUGACCUUUUCAAUAUUCUAAUCUUUGCUUUGCUGACCUCUCAGGCCUCUUCCUGGCAACAGUUAGGCUUUUGAGAGGAGAGAGAGCUGAGACUGUUGGCUCCUUCCCAUUUAUGAGAGAGCCACAUGACAUCAGCCCAUAGACUGUGGAGAGUAUUCCAGAUCUAUCACAUUCUGCGAUUCUGCGAUUCCCAGAAGGCUGGUCAUGAAAAAAUUCCCUCUUCAGUUUACAUAUAUGGCAGUGCUCCAGUGCCAUGACAGUUUUAAUCUUCUGGUUCCAUCUGCAUAGAUUUCAGUCUCUAAUUGAGGAAAAUCAUCUGUUUUUCUCAGGAGCCCCUUGAUUCAAGUUUACACAAAAUGUGCCUUUGGAGACUAUCCUGUUAAUUUAAACAGUUCAGAUCCCACUUGUAUGUGAGACAGAUGCUUCUCUGGCCAUCAGCCAGGUACCACUAAAGGAGGUACAGGCACUUCUAGAUAUCUGUUGAGGCCUGGAAGGGGCAAAACAAUUCAGGAAGCAGUUGAAGAUAAAGGGGUUUACCAUGGAAGAGAAGAUCCAGGUGCCUUCAUGGAAAUGCUUGUGGUUGAAAAGAGAUGAAGAUGAGGGUCCCUGGAAAGAGGAAGAACCAGCCAGGAAAAUUAUACCAUUAGCAAGACUGGCAUCAGCAAGUAGUUCGCAGUGUUGGUUGUUCUUGGUUUCGCAGGAUUUUAUAGGAGUUCUGAACACUGGGAAGUCCAAGAGCAAGGCAACAACAGAUUCAACAUCUGAUGGACCUUCUCCUAAAAGUCUUAUCUUCUAAGUCUCCUAAGUCUUGGACUUUUCAAGGCCAAAGAUUUAAAGGCCAAGUGGACCAUACGGGAGAUCUAGUUUCCCAUCCAGACAGCCAAGCUCAUGCAUCCCUGGAUUUGGAUGGAUGGUUUCCCAUGGGGCCUUGGACAGAUUGGACCCAGCACUGGCACAGGGUUGACUUGGAGGAAUAAGCUCCUGGAAACCUCAAUUAGCGUUUGGGGUAUGAACAUUAAACAAUACUGAAUCUGGAAACAAUACAUCACACAGCGGGUCCAAGGAAAUAAGCAGAAGGCUGGCAGCAGGCCAGGGCCAGGGGCCAAAUCGCUCCUCAAAGACAAUUCUUCAUGGAGAAAUGACAGCAGGUUUGAGGACAGCAGAAUUUCGCUCUUGUUGCCCAGGGCUGGAGUGCAAUGGUGCAAUCUCGGCUCACCACAACCACUGCCUCCUGGGUUCAAGCGAUUCUCCUGCCUCAGCCUCCUGAGUAGCUGGGAUUACAGGAAGUACAAAAACAUCCUUGCCGUUUGCUGGAAUGAUGUACUGCUGAAGGCAAUGGACACUGGGGUUGUUUGUCCCUAAUCACAAGUGAGCAAUACCAGAUCUAUUAUCUCAGGUUCAGAGAAGUGAGGUGUCUGACCUUCAGACAGGAUUGAAUGCAGAGUAAAAUAAUUCCAAAUAUGGUCUGGGCAUUGCAUGUAAUACAGAGUAAAAGUUAUUGUAAGACACUUUCGCCAGUUUCUGUCACUUGGUUCCUCAAAUGUUUAGUUCAUUCUAAUUACAUAAUCAGCCUUCUGAUUCAAUGAAGACUGAUGGGAUUGCUGACUUGCCACCCUGGAGUUCAGUUGGCAGCAAGUGAGGGAAAAGGUGAACUCUGUAAACAAGGUUUAGAAGCCCUUUUCUUAACUCUUUAUAAAACAGAGAAGAUGAGGAAGGAGAAAGGCACUGUCAUUAAGCUCUUAGCCAGGGAAUUACACAUACACACACGUGUGUGUGUGUGUAUUUCAACUCAAUGUACAAGGACUUCUCAGCCCAUAGCUACUUUGAACACAUUGUUUAUCCCCCAUAGCAUGAAGGACUAAAGGAACCAGAGAUUUCAUAAUCUCUGGCCUGUAACGUUUUUGCUGAAAUAUCUGCUGUUAUUCUAAUGGGGUUUCCUUUAAAGGUGACUAGUCACUCUUCUUUUGCUAAUUAAUUUUUUUUUUCACUUUGACUUUAGACAUUCUGAAUAUAAUAUGCUAUGAUGAAGCACUUUAUGCAAUGUAUAUUCCUGAGGAUUGCUGGGCCUCCUGUAACUAGAUGUCUGACUCUCUUGCUAGAUGUGGAAAGUUUUCAUCAAUUAUUUUCUUAAACAGGUUUUCUAAGCUUUUAAAUAAUCUUUCUUUCCCAUCAGGAAUACCAAUAAUUUCUAAUUUCAGUCACUUUAUGUAGUCCCAGACAUCUCAAAGGCUUUGUGCACUCCCUUUUAUACUUUUUUGUUGUCGUUAUCUUUGUCUUACUGGAUUAUUUCAAAAGACUUAUCUUCAAGUUCUGAGAUUCUUUCUUCUGCUUGAUCUAUUCUGUUAUUGAAGCUUUCAAAUACAUUUUGCAUUUCCUUCAAUAGUUUUUUUAGGUUUAGAUUUUCUGCUUUUGCUUUAUAAGAUACCCAUCUCCUUGAUACAUUUCUCAUUAAUAUCCUGAGUUAAUUUUCUAAUUUCUUGAAGUUGGCCCAAGGGUGGAAUGCAGCCCCGUGUUAAACUCUCAAAACUGUGCCUUGGGCCUGUGACCAGACAGAGCAGAUUUCUUCUCAAGUAAGUAGCAUAGAAAAGAGAGAUCCAAAUAAACACAAUCAUAAAUGAAAAAGGAGACAUUAUAGCUGAUAACACAGAGGCACAAAGAUCAUCAGAGACUAUUAUAAAUAACUAUAUGAUCACAAACC
rnacentral:lncRNA from 10 species